rnacentral:rRNA from 1 species
GGUUAAGCGACUAAGCGUACACGGUGGAUGCCCCGGCAGUCAGAGGCGAUGAAGGACGUGCUAAUCUGCGAUAAGCGUCGGUGAGGUGAUAUGAACCGUUAUAACCGGCGAUUUCCGAAUGGGGAAACCCAGUGUGUUUCGACACACUAUCAUUAACUGAAUCCAUAGGUUAAUGAGGCGAACCGGGGAACUGAAACAUCUAAGUACCCCGAGGAAAAGAAAUCAACCGAGAUUCCCCAGUAGCGGCGAGCGAACGGGGAGGAGCCCAGAGCCUGAAUCAGUGUGUGUGUUAGUGGAAGCGUCUGGAAAGGCGCGCGAUACAGGGUGACAGCCCCGUACACAAAAAUGCACAUGCUGUGAGCUCGAUGAGUAGGGCGGGACACGUGGUAUCCUGUCUGAAUAUGGGGGACCAUCCUCCAAGGCUAAAUACUCCUGACUGACCGAUAGUGAACCAGUACCGUGAGGGAAAGGCGAAAAGAACCCCGGCGAGGGGAGUGAAAAAGAACCUGAAACCGUGUACGUACAAGCAGUGGGAGCCUCUUAAUGGGGUGACUGCGUACCUUUGUAUAAUGGGUCAGCGACUUAUAUUCUGUAGCAAGGUUAACCGAAUAGGGGAGCCGAAGGGAAACCGAGUCUUAACUGGGCGUUAAGUUGCAGGGUAUAGACCCGAAACCCGGUGAUCUAGCCAUGGGCAGGUUGAAGGUUGGGUAACACUAACUGGAGGACCGAACCGACUAAUGUUGAAAAAUUAGCGGAUGACUUGUGGCUGGGGGUGAAAGGCCAAUCAAACCGGGAGAUAGCUGGUUCUCCCCGAAAGCUAUUUAGGUAGCGCCUCGUGAAUUCAUCUCCGGGGUAGAGCACUGUUUCGGCAAGGGGGUCAUCCCGACUUACCAACCCGAUGCAAACUGCGAAUACCGGAGAAUGUUAUCACGGGAGACACACGGCGGGUGCUAACGUCCGUCGUGAAGAGGGAAACAACCCAGACCGCCAGCUAAGGUCCCAAAGUCAUGGUUAAGUGGGAAACGAUGUGGGAAGGCCCAGACAGCCGGGAUGUUGGCUUAGAAGCAGCCAUCAUUUAAAGAAAGCGUAAUAGCUCACUGGUCGAGUCGGCCUGCGCGGAAGAUGUAACGGGGCUAAACCAUGCACCGAAGCUGCGGCAGCGACACUAUGUGUUGUUGGGUAGGGGAGCGUUCUGUAAGCCUGUGAAGGUGUGCUGUGAGGCAUGCUGGAGGUAUCAGAAGUGCGAAUGCUGACAUAAGUAACGAUAAAGCGGGUGAAAAGCCCGCUCGCCGGAAGACCAAGGGUUCCUGUCCAACGUUAAUCGGGGCAGGGUGAGUCGACCCCUAAGGCGAGGCCGAAAGGCGUAGUCGAUGGGAAACAGGUUAAUAUUCCUGUACUUGGUGUUACUGCGAAGGGGGACGGAGAAGGCUAUGUUGGCCGGGCGACGGUUGUCCCGGUUUAAGCGUGUAGGCUGGUUUUCCGGGCAAAUCCGGAAAACCAAGGCUGAGGCGUGAUGACGAGGCACUACGGUGCUGAAGCGACAAAUGCCCUGCUUCCGGGAAAAGCCUCUAAGCAUCAGGUAACAUCAAAUCGUACCCCAAACCGACACAGGUGGUCAGGUAGAGAAUACCAAGGCGCUUGAGAGAACUCGGGUGAAGGAACUAGGCAAAAUGGUGCCGUAACUUCGGGAGAAGGCACGCUGAUAUGUAGGUGAAGCGACUUGCUCGUGGAGCUGAAAUCAGUCGAAGAUACCAGCUGGCUGCAACUGUUUAUUAAAAACACAGCACUGUGCAAACACGAAAGUGGACGUAUACGGUGUGACGCCUGCCCGGUGCCGGAAGGUUAAUUGAUGGGGUUAGCGGUAACGCGAAGCUCUUGAUCGAAGCCCCGGUAAACGGCGGCCGUAACUAUAACGGUCCUAAGGUAGCGAAAUUCCUUGUCGGGUAAGUUCCGACCUGCACGAAUGGCGUAAUGAUGGCCGGGCUGUCUCCACCCGAGACUCAGUGAAAUUGAACUCGCUGUGAAGAUGCAGUGUACCCGCGGCAAGACGGAAAGACCCCGUGAACCUUUACUAUAGCUUGACACUGAACAUUGAGCCUUGAUGUGUAGGAUAGGUGGGAGGCUUUGAAGUGUGGACGCCAGUCUGCAUGGAGCCGACCUUGAAAUACCACCCUUUAAUGUUUGAUGUUCUAACGUUGGCCCGUAAUCCGGGUUGCGGACAGUGUCUGGUGGGUAGUUUGACUGGGGCGGUCUCCUCCUAAAGAGUAACGGAGGAGCACGAAGGUUGGCUAAUCCUGGUCGGACAUCAGGAGGUUAGUGCAAUGGCAUAAGCCAGCUUGACUGCGAGCGUGACGGCGCGAGCAGGUGCGAAAGCAGGUCAUAGUGAUCCGGUGGUUCUGAAUGGAAGGGCCAUCGCUCAACGGAUAAAAGGUACUCCGGGGAUAACAGGCUGAUACCGCCCAAGAGUUCAUAUCGACGGCGGUGUUUGGCACCUCGAUGUCGGCUCAUCACAUCCUCGGGGCUGAAGUAGGUCCCAAGGGUAUGGCUGUUCGCCAUUUAAAGUGGUACGCGAGCUGGGUUUAGAACGUCGUGAGACAGUUCGGUCCCUAUCUGCCGUGGGCGCUGGAGAACUGAGGGGGCUGCUCCUAGUACGAGAGGACCGGAGUGGACGCAUCACUGGUGUUCGGGUUGUCAUGCCAAUGGCACUGCCCGGUAGCUAAAUGCGGAAGAGAUAAGUGCUGAAAGCAUCUAAGCACGAAACUUGCCCCGAGAUGAGUUCUCCCUGAGACUUAGAGUCUCCUGAAGGAACGUUGAAGACGACGACGUUGAUAGGCCGGGUGUGUAAGCGCAGCGAUGCGUUGAGCUAACCGGUACUAAUGAACCGUGAGGCUUAACCUU